CUACGGGAUGCAGCAGUGGGGAAUAUUGCACAAUGGGCGCAAGCCUGAUGCAGCCAUGCCGCGUGUAUGAAGAAGGCCUUCGGGUUGUAAAGUACUUUCAGCGGGGAGGAAGGGAGUAAAGUUAAUACCUUUGCUCAUUGACGUUACCCGCAGAAGAAGCACCGGCUAGACUCCGUGCCAGCAGCCGCGGUAAUACGGAGGGUGCAAGCGUUAAUCGGAAUUACUGGGCGUAAAGCGCACGCAGGCGGUUUGUUAAGUCAGAUGUGAAAUCCCCGGGCUCAACCUGGGAACUGCAUCUGAUACUGGCAAGCUUGAGUCUCGUAGAGGGGGGUAGAAUUCCAGGUGUAGCGGUGAAAUGCGUAGAGAUCUGGAGGAAUACCGGUGGCGAAGGCGGCCCCCUGGACGAAGACUGACGCUCAGGUGCGAAAGCGUGGGGAGCAAACAGGAUUAGAUACCCGCGUAGUC
rnacentral:rRNA from 1 species